rnacentral:rRNA from 1 species
UACAGAGGGUGCAAGCGUUAAUCGGAAUUACUGGGCGUAAAGCGUGCGUAGACGGUUACAUAAGUCGGGUGUGAAAGCCCCGGGCUCAACCUGGGAAUGGCAUUGGAAACUGGCGGGCUUGAGUGUGGCAGAGGGGGGUGGAAUUCCGCGUGUAGCAGUGAAAUGCGUAGAGAUGCGGAGGAACACCGAUGGCGAAGGCAAUCCCCUGGACCUGUACUGACGCUCAUGCACGAAAGCGUGGGGAGCAAACAGGAUUACGAGUACCC